rfam:Schistosoma mansoni strain Puerto Rico chromosome 1, complete genome
AUCAAGCUGACGAGUCGCGAAUAAGACAAAACGCACGUUUUGGAU